AGAAGAAAGGGACAGUGGCCCCCGGCUCCUCCAGGACUCGAGGAGAGGCCUCAGGGCGCUGGCUGGAGACGAGGGAUGGGAACCGUGCGCCAUGACAGAGCUCGAGAAAAUCCACCGGGGUGCCGCUUGGGCAACGUGGCGAAAGUGCAGCACAGUGUUUUGCUGGGGAUCUCUGGUCUCAACCUAGGAGUCAAAAAGGACAGAGAGAGAGAAAUGGCCACGUUUGCAGGAUUCAGUCAAAGGAUAGAUAAAAUGGCUAGGACUAAAUGAAUUUAUGAACAUCUUCCUGAGAAGAAGAAUAGAGAGAGUAAGUAAGUACAUUGGUCUCUCUUGCACAUCUCUCCCCUGGUACCUUGAAAGUUUUUGCAAGGGUUGUUAUCUCUUACCUGUUUUCUAUCAUCUGCUAUUUUGUACAAUACAGUGCCUCUAGACCUUACAAUGGAUGCUUUCUGCUACACUCAGUGGUGUCUACCAAUAUUCCCUCCUUGGACUUAAGGAUUAAAGAGCAAAAUAAGUAUGCUCUCUGACCCUACUGGAAUAAACUCAGAAACAUCACACUAUUUAAAUUUGUCAUUGUCCAAUUGUGACACCAAUUCUGUUCAUGAUGACAUUUUCUGUUAGUUUGAUAGGGUCAGGUUAGGAUUAUGAUAACUGUAAUUCACUUUUAGGUAUCAAAUUUUCAUAAAUCACAUCCUCCCUUGCAUAUGAUGGUGUGCCACGUGAGACAUUUUAAUGCAUUAAUUGCCUAACAAGAGUAUAAUGAAUAUUCACUCUGGAAUAUUGUUCAAGUAUGUUCCAAGGGUUACUUUGUAGCAAAGCCUCAGAACAUUAUAUUCUUAAUGUUGUUAUAUAUUUGUUUAAUUGAAUUCCUUAUACUUUUUAGUAAUGGAUGAGAAUUCUGAAGAAUAGUCUUUAAGCUGGCAAAAUUUUAUGAUUCUUUUAUUAUCUUUUAAAUAAGACAGUGGGGAGACACGGAACUAGUAUUUAUUCAAUGUUUUACUACGGGUUAGACACCAUGUUAUGUGCUAAGCAUAUCUUCUCUGCAUAAUUAUAAUCACUCUACAAGGUUGCCAUGCUGUUCAUAGAGAUUGAUUGGCCCAAGAUUCUACAGUUAAAAAAAUGGUUAAAGCAUAAUUUAACUCCAAGCCUGCCUGGCUCCCAAACCCAUUCUCUUUCCUCUCUCCAUGGUAUUUGUACAGCAAUAGUAUCAAAAUGUGGGAUCCAAUAAGAUCCACUUGAAGAAGUGAGAUUUAGUUAUGUUUUCACUCCAGUUGAAAUUUAUUUCUGAGAAGAUUGAUUAGACCUAGAGUUUGUUCUAGUUGAAGUGAUAAGCCUUGUUUUCCUCAUCCAGUGUUUGAAGGCAGACCUCAGUUAACCAUGGCCUCAGGACCAUAGAUGAGUUGAUUGGCUUCUUUAUCUUCAUGAAAUUGACAUAAGCAAUAUCUACUCUGGCAAGUCUGUUCUUCUAGAAAUUACAAUACAUAUUUCGCAACACAAUGUACAAUGCAAAUAUACUAUGCAUAUGGACUAUGUUACACUAAUUAGAUUCAGCAUCUAUUUAGAGAGUGUUUCUAAUUGGUUUCUCUACUUAGGAAAAUAAGUCAAGGGUAAGGAGUCUUACUGUGAAUUUAAAUCAAAUUAAUUGUAGCCUUUUAUAUCAGCUAUACCUAAUAAAAUGUUAUUUUCUUGAAUUAAUUAAUUACUGCAGUGAUCAUGAAAUCUCCCUGGUACCUCUCAGUUCCAAAACUUAUAUAUAUAUAUAUAUAUUUAUAUAUAUAACCUAAAUUUAUAUAUAAUAUAAAUAUGUUUAUAUAUAUAUUAUA
ensembl:lncRNA